rnacentral:lncRNA from 1 species
UGGUCCAAGUAUAGUAUAACUUCUAAUAUGAUUAGGAGGAAGGAUCCUUAUUUGAUUAGGAUAUCCAUUAGAUGUCUAUUUAAAGGAUCCUAGCCUUACCUCUCUCAUUAUCUCAUGAUCUCCCAUCCUUACUGCCAUCUAUUACUGUACCCAUACCUCCUCUCCUCUCUCUCUAGCCCACACCCUCUCUCUCUAGACAUCCCUUUUUUGGAUCUUAGAGAGAAGUGGGCGGUGUCCUUUCUUCGGUGUCAAGGGUUGACGUCAAGAUUGAUUAGUUCCUUUCUCUUCCUCUUAAGUUGUUGAAAGUUAGUUAUAACCACUUCUUAUUUGUUGUUCUUCUUGAUUAACUGAGGGAUCAAGAAAGGUUCUUAAUUUCUUCAAAAAUUAAGAAAGGUUCUUGAUUUCUUCAAAAAUCAAGAAAAAAAGAUCAAAAGUGUUUACAAGUUGAUCCCUACCCAAGCUUGCUUCAAGCCUAUUCAAGCUUUCGGUUCAAGUAAGCAGGAUUCAAGAGAAAAUAAUUGAGGUCGGCCUUGUGGAUACCCAUAGAGGCAGAAUACUUGUGCUGUUGAUUCAGAGCCUAAUCAACCCCAAAUCCAGA